UACGGGGGGUGCAAACGUUGCUCGGAAUUAUUGGGCGUAAAGCGCACGUAGGCGGUCCUGUAAGUCGGGUGUGAAAGCCCCCAGGCUUAACCUGGGAAGUGCACUCGAAACUGUCGGGCUCGAGUAUGGAAGAGGGUCGCGGAAUUCCCGGUGUAGAGGUGAAAUUCGUAGAUAUCGGGAGGAACACCAGUGGCGAAGGCGGCGACCUGGGCCAAUACUGACGCUGAGGUGCGAAAGCGUGGGGAGCAAACAGG
rnacentral:rRNA from 1 species